UUUAUGGAGAGUUUGAUCCUGGCUCAGGAUGAACGCUGGCGGCGUGCCUAAUACAUGCAAGUCGAGCGAACGGACGAGAAGCUUGCUUCUCUGAUGUUAGCGGCGGACGGGUGAGUAACACGUGGAUAACCUACCUAUAAGACUGGGAUAACUUCGGGAAACCGGAGCUAAUACCGGAUAAUAUUUUGAACCGCAUGGUUCAAAAGUGAAAGACGGUCUUGCUGUCACUUAUAGAUGGAUCCGCGCUGCAUUAGCUAGUUGGUAAGGUAACGGCUUACCAAGGCAACGAUGCAUAGCCGACCUGAGAGGGUGAUCGGCCACACUGGAACUGAGACACGGUCCAGACUCCUACGGGAGGCAGCAGUAGGGAAUCUUCCGUAAUGGGCGAAAGCCUGACGGAGCAACGCCGCGUGAGUGAUGAAGGUCUUCGGAUCGUAAAACUCUGUUAUUAGGGAAGAACAUAUGUGUAAGUAACUGUGCACAUCUUGACGGUACCUAAUCAGAAAGCCACGGCUAACUACGUGCCAGCAGCCGCGGUAAUACGUAGGUGGCAAGCGUUAUCCGGAAUUAUUGGGCGUAAAGCGCGCGUAGGCGGUUUUUUAAGUCUGAUGUGAAAGCCCACGGCUCAACCGUGGAGGGUCAUUGGAAACUGGAAAACUUGAGUGCAGAAGAGGAAAGUGGAAUUCCAUGUGUAGCGGUGAAAUGCGCAGAGAUAUGGAGGAACACCAGUGGCGAAGGCGACUUUCUGGUCUGUAACUGACGCUGAUGUGCGAAAGCGUGGGGAUCAAACAGGAUUAGAUACCCUGGUAGUCCACGCCGUAAACGAUGAGUGCUAAGUGUUAGGGGGUUUCCGCCCCUUAGUGCUGCAGCUAACGCAUUAAGCACUCCGCCUGGGGAGUACGACCGCAAGGUUGAAACUCAAAGGAAUUGACGGGGACCCGCACAAGCGGUGGAGCAUGUGGUUUAAUUCGAAGCAACGCGAAGAACCUUACCAAAUCUUGACAUCCUUUGACAACUCUAGAGAUAGAGCCUUCCCCUUCGGGGGACAAAGUGACAGGUGGUGCAUGGUUGUCGUCAGCUCGUGUCGUGAGAUGUUGGGUUAAGUCCCGCAACGAGCGCAACCCUUAAGCUUAGUUGCCAUCAUUAAGUUGGGCACUCUAAGUUGACUGCCGGUGACAAACCGGAGGAAGGUGGGGAUGACGUCAAAUCAUCAUGCCCCUUAUGAUUUGGGCUACACACGUGCUACAAUGGACAAUACAAAGGGCAGCGAAACCGCGAGGUCAAGCAAAUCCCAUAAAGUUGUUCUCAGUUCGGAUUGUAGUCUGCAACUCGACUACAUGAAGCUGGAAUCGCUAGUAAUCGUAGAUCAGCAUGCUACGGUGAAUACGUUCCCGGGUCUUGUACACACCGCCCGUCACACCACGAGAGUUUGUAACACCCGAAGCCGGUGGAGUAACCUUUUAGGAGCUAGCCGUCGAAGGUGGGACAAAUGAUUGGGGUGAAGUCGUAACAAGGUAGCCGUAUCGGAAGGUGCGGCUGGAUCACCUCCUUUCU
rnacentral:rRNA from 1 species